rnacentral:pre_miRNA from 11 species
UUUCCAGAGAUCGACUUUUUUGGGAUCGACUUCCCUGGGAUCGACUUUUGAGAAAAGUCGAUCCCAGGGAAGUCGAUCCUUAGGAAAGUCGAUCUUCCUAGGA